ACGGGCUCUUCUAUCAACUGAUUGCCACAUCUGCCACGUGUAACAUACAAAUGAGAAGUUGUUCUGCCUUAACAUUAAUGAGAUGGUUAGAACAUGUGUUCCUGGAAAGGAGACAGGGGCUAAACAUUGAUUGCUGAUGAUCUGAACAGUGGUGAGAAGGAAGGAUGGUUUGCGGUUAAGGUAUGUUGGGCACAUUAGUCAAUCUUUCUGUGCUUCAGAUUCCCAUCUGUAAAAGGGGGAUAAUACUUUCCUCAGAGAGUUGUUGUGAGGAUAAAUCUAUAAAUACUCAGGAGGAAUUCAGGUGGUGGGAGCCAUAGGAGCACUUAGAUAGUGGAAAGUGCACUACUGAUUGCUGAACAAUCAGAAAACAUUACUGGAACUAAAUCUUGCUUCAAAAAAAUUACUGGUUCAGAGACAGAGAUCUGGAAUGGAUGAUAUAGUAUAGAGAACAAUGAAGAUAAUUCUUGGUUUGUGGCUGGAACUGAAAUAGCUAUGUACUUAGCCACAGCAAAAAUUUCUGGAAGCCAGAAUAAAUAGA